rfam:Asian citrus Psyllid, Diaphorina citri - Florida Strain, whole genome shotgun sequence.
GCCUAGUUAGCUUAGUUGGUAGUGCGUCUGCCUUGUAAGCGCUAGGCCGCGGGUUCGAUUCCCGCCCGGCGCG